rfam:Helianthus annuus linkage group 8, whole genome shotgun sequence.
UGCAAUAGUAAGGACCUUUCCCUAGUACGAGAGGACCGGGAAGGACGCACCUCUGGUGUACCAGUUAUCGUGCCCACGGUAAACGUUGGGUAGCCAAGUGCGGAGCGGAUAACUGCUGAAAGCAUCUAAGUAGUAAGCCCACCCCAAGAUGAGUGCUCCCCUAUUCCAACUUCCCCAGAGCCUCCGGUAGCACAGCCGAGACAGCGACGGGUUCUCUGCCCCUGCGGGGAUGGAGCGACAGAAGUUUUGAGAAUUCAAGAGAAGGUCACAGCGAGACGAGCCGUUUAUCAUUACGAUAGGUUUCAAGUGGAAGUGCAGUGAUGUAUGCAGCUGAGGCAUCCUAACAGACCGG